rnacentral:rRNA from 1 species
UUCCUUGAGCUUCAUUCAAGGUAUAGCCUGCCCAAUGUAACAUCAAUGGCCGCGGUAUCCUGACCGUGCGAAGGUAGCAUAAUCAUUAGUCUCUUAAUUAGAGGCUGGCAUGAACGGCUGAACGAGAAAAAUACUGUCUCUAGAAGAAAAAUAGAAUUUUAUUAUUAAGUGAAAAAGCUUAAAUUUCUCUGGAGGACGAUAAGACCCUAUAGAGCUUCAUUUUCCCUAAAUAGAUCUUAACUAGAAGUUAACAUUACUAUAAAAAGAAAAUUUGGUUGGGGCGACAACAAGAAAAAAAUAACUCUUUAUUUUUAUUACAGCGAUAGCUGCUUUAGAGAUCCUUUUAGAAAGAUCAAAAGAACAAGUUACCUUAGGGAUAACAGCGUAAUCCUUUUCAAGAGUUCCCAUCGACAAAAGGGUUUGCGACCUCGAUGUUGGAUUAAGAAAUUGUUUGGGUGCAGCAGCUCAAAUAAAAGGUCUGUUCGACCUUUAAAUUCUUACA